UGAGCAUGACUUCACCCUUCACAAUC
rnacentral:piRNA from 1 species